AAACCAACAGGGAUUGCCUCAGUAACGGCGAGUGAAGCGGCAACAGCUCAAAUUUGAAAUCUGGCCGCAAGGUCCGAGUUGUAAUUUGUAGAGGAUGCUUUUGGCGAGGUGCCUUCCGAGUUCCCUGGAACGGGACGCCAUAGAGGGUGAGAGCCCCGUACGGUAGGACCACCGAGCCUCUGUAAAGCUCCUUCGAGGAGUCGAGUAGUUUGGGAAUGCUGCUCUAAAUGGGAGGUGUACGUCUUCUAAAGCUAAAUACCGGCCAGAGACCGAUAGCGCACAAGUAGAGUGAUCGAAAGAUGAAAAGCACUUUGAAAAGAGGGUUAAAAAGUACGUGAAAUUGUUGAAAGGGAAGCAUUCAUGACCAGACUUGGGCUUGGUUGAACAUCCGGCGUUCUCGCCGGUGCACUCUGCCAGUCCAGGCCAGCAUCAGUUUGCCCCGGGGGUAUAAAGGCGCGGGAAUGUGGCUCCCUACGGGGAUGGUUAUAGCCCGUCGUGUAAUGCCCUGGGCGA
rnacentral:rRNA from 1 species